CUUAGCUCAGUUGGUAGAGCAGUAGACUCUUAAUCUAUGGGUCACAGGUUCGAGCCCUGUAG
rnacentral:tRNA from 1 species